rnacentral:rRNA from 1 species
GAACGCUGGCGGCGUGCUUAACACAUGCAAGUCGAACGGAAAGGCCCUGCUUUUGUGGGGUGCUCGAGUGGCGAACGGGUGAGUAACACGUGAGUAACCUGCCCUUGACUUUGGGAUAACUUCAGGAAACUGGGGCUAAUACCGGAUAGGAGCUCCUGCUGCAUGGUGGGGGUUGGAAAGUUUCGGCGGUUGGGGAUGGACUCGCGGCUUAUCAGCUUGUUGGUGGGGUAGUGGCUUACCAAGGCUUUGACGGGUAGCCGGCCUGAGAGGGUGACCGGCCACAUUGGGACUGAGAUACGGCCCAGACUCCUACGUGAGGCAGCAGUGGGGAAUAUUGCACAAUGGGCGGAAGCCUGAUGCAGCAACGCCGCGUGCGGGAUGACGGCCUUCGGGUUGUAAACCGCUUUCGCCUGUGACGAAGCGUGAGUGACGGUAAUGGGUAAAGAAGCACCGGCUAACUACGUGCCAGCAGCCGCGGUGAUACGUAGGGUGCGAGCGUUGUCCGGAUUUAUUGGGCGUAAAGGGCUCGUAGGUGGUUGAUCGCGUCGGAAGUGUAAUCUUGGGGCUUAACCCUGAGCGUGCUUUCGAUACGGGUUGACUUGAGGAAGGUAGGGGAGAAUGGAAUUCCUGGUGGAGCGGUGGAAUGCGCAGAUAUCAGGAGGAACACCAGUGGCGAAGGCGGUUCUCUGGGCCUUUCCUGACGCUGAGGAGCGAAAGCGUGGGGAGCGAACAGGCUUAGAUACCCUGGUAGUCCACGCUGUAAACGGUGGGUACUAGGUGUGGGGUCCAUUCCACGGGUUCCGUGCCGUAGCUAACGCUUUAAGUACCCCGCCUGGGGAGUACGGCCGCAAGGCUAAAACUCAAAGGAAUUGACGGGGCCCCGCACAAGCGGCGGAGCAUGCGGAUUAAUUCGAUGCAACGCGUAGAACCUUACCUGGGUUUGACAUGGAUCGGGAGUGCUCAGAGAUGGGUGUGCCUCUUUUGGGGUCGGUUCACAGGUGGUGCAUGGCUGUCGUCAGCUCGUGUCGUGAGAUGUUGGGUUAAGUCCCGCAACGAGCGCAACCCUUGUUCACUGUUGCCAGCACGUUAUGGUGGGGACUCAGUGGAGACCGCCGGGGUCAACUCGGAGGAAGGUGGGGAUGACGUCAAGUCAUCAUGCCCCUUAUGUCCAGGGCUUCACGCAUGCUACAAUGGCUGGUACAGAGAGUGGCGAGCCUGUGAGGGUGAGCGAAUCUCGGAAAGCCGGUCUCAGUUCGGAUUGGGGUCUGCAACUCGACCUCAUGAAGUCGGAGUCGCUAGUAAUCGCAGAUCAGCAACGCUGCGGUGAAUACGUUCCCGGGGCUUGUACACACCGCCCGUCAAGUCAUGAAAGUUGGUAACACCCGAAGCCGGUGGCCUAACCGUUGUGGGGGAGCCGUCGAAGGUGGGACUGGUGAU